AAAAACAUAGUUAAUAGAAAUUUAUUAUUAAUAUAUCCUGCUCAAUGAAUAUUAAAUAGCCGCAGUUCAUACUGUGCUAAGGUAGCAUAAUCAUUUGUCUUUUAAUUAAAGACUAGAAUGAAAGGAUAAACAUUUAAUUCUUUAUUACAAAUUUUAAAUUAAAUUUAUUUUAAAUGUAAAAAAACAUUUAUACUUCAGAUAGACGAAAAGACCCUAUUGAACUUUACUGAAGUUUAACUGGGGCAGUUAAUUAAUAAUUAUUUUAAUUUUUUAUAUUACUUAAAUGACCCGAAAUAAACGAAAAUAUGAUCAAGUUACCAUAGGGAUAACAGCGUAAUAUUUUUCAUUAGAUCUUAUAUAAAAAAAAGAUUACGACCUCGAUGUUGAAUUAAUUUUUCUAAUAAAUGCAACAAUUUAUAAAGAAAGUCUGUUCGACUUUUAAAUAAUUACAUGAUCUGAG
rnacentral:rRNA from 1 species